CGCCCGGAGGCCAUCGGGGUACAGCGGUCUGCAACACCGCGAACCGUGGGUUCGACUCCCACCCGGGCGU
rnacentral:tRNA from 1 species